AGGACGAACGCUGGCGGCGUGCUUAACACAUGCAAGUCGAGCGGAAAGGCCCUUCGGGGUACUCGAGCGGCGAACGGGUGAGUAACACGUGGGCAACCUGCCCUUAGCUCUGGGAUAGCUCCGGGAAACCGGAAUUAAUACCGGAUAUGACCUAGGCCGACAUCGGCCGUGGUGGAAAGUUUUUCGGCUAGGGAUGGACUCGCGGCCUAUCAGCUAGUUGGUGGGGUAAUGGCCUACCAAGGCGACGACGGGUAGCCGGCCUGAGAGGGCGACCGGCCACACUGGGACUGAGACACGGCCCAGACUCCUACGGGAGGCAGCAGUGGGGAAUCUUGCGCAAUGGGCGAAAGCCUGACGCAGCGACGCCGCGUGGGGAUGGAAGGCCUUCGGGUUGUAAACCCCUUUCAGCAGGACGAAGCGAAAGUGACGUACUGCAGAAGAAGCGCCGGCUAACUACGUGCCAGCAGCCGC
rnacentral:rRNA from 1 species